rnacentral:rRNA from 1 species
AGUGAACGCUGGCGGUAGGCCUAACACAUGCAAGUCGAACGGCAGCACAGUAAGAGCUUGCUCUUACGGGUGGCGAGUGGCGGACGGGUGAGGAAUACAUCGGAAUCUACUUUUUCGUGGGGGAUAACGUAGGGAAACUUACGCUAAUACCGCAUACGACCUACGGGUGAAAGCAGGGGAUCUUCGGACCUUGCGCGAUUGAAUGAGCCGAUGUCGGAUUAGCUAGUUGGCGGGGUAAAGGCCCACCAAGGCGACGAUCCGUAGCUGGUCUGAGAGGAUGAUCAGCCACACUGGAGCUGAGACACGGUCCAGGCUCCUACGGGAGGCAGCAGUGGGGAAUAUUGGACAAUGGGCGCAAGCCUGAUCCAGCCAUACCGCGUGGGUGAAGAAGGCCUUCGGGUUGUAAAGCCCUUUUGUUGGGAAAAAAAAGCAGCAGGUUAAUACCCCGCUGUUCUGACGGUACCCAAAGAAUAAGCACCGGCUAACUUCGUG